rnacentral:siRNA from 1 species
GUACCUCUCAUGUCUCCAGGGUUC